UUUUUUUUUUUUUUUAAUGGAAAAAAUAGCAGGCAUACAGGAUCUGAGCACUCUGGUGCCUUUAAGGGUAAAAUUGCUCUGAGGCCAUCUUUGUGAACAAAGCUGGAAAAGAGAUUUCUUUUUCUUUUAAAGCCAGGAGUUUGCUAUUUUCAAUAGUUUGAGGUGUUCUGACUUAAAGUUCUUUUGAUCUUUUGAUUUUAUCUCCUUUUCUCUUUUAUAAAGUUGCUUUUUGCUUCAUUUAAGUCUGAUUGCUCUAAGACAAUGUGUUAAUACAAGUAUUAAAGCUCAUACUGAAUCAUAUACUGAAUAGAUAUCAAGACUUUCUGUACAGUUCCUUUGGUUCUUAGUAUUCUAGGAAGGAUGUUUAGUAAUUCAUAAUCCCCCCCCACCUCUCUCUUUUAAGCUUCUAAGUAGGCUCUAUGCCCAACAUGGGGCUUGAACUCAUGGCCUGGAGAUCAAGAGUCCCAUGCUCCACCAACUGAGCCAGCCGGGCACCCCAGUAAUUCAUAAUCUCUUGCUUAGUGUGGCUCUUUACAUAUUCAUGUGAUGGAGAGUUUUGUUCCACUGUUUUCAUCCUGCUUUCAGCUGAAGGGUGCUGGUAUUCUAAUAGCUAACAGUUUCAAGAAUUUAAGAAUUUAGCAAGCAAUCCCCAGCCCCUCCAGAUAGCGAAGGAGUGGGGAGGGCAGCCAUUCUACUUUGAAAUCAGCUCAAUCUACAACAUUCUUUUUAAGUUUCAUUUCCUUAUCACUGCAUCCAUGUACUGUCACUUAAAACAUAGUUCUAAGAUACACGUGUGUGUGUGAUCUCCAGCAGAUUAACUGGUUCAGCCUAUUACUGAAUUACAGAUAAUAUUAGAAUCAAUACACUUUACACAGUUGGUAAAUAAAUCCAAUCUUAAAACUUAGAUCUUCUUUUAAAAUAUAUGGAACAUUCUUUUAUCAACUUAGUAUGUUACAUAUUGUUAUACGAAGAUUUAUAAUGAAUAAAUUCAAAUGGUUUUCCCAGUUAGCAUUAUCUUGACCUACUUACUACCAGUCAAUAUGUUUGUUUUUACUGUAGGGAGACAGCUUUAUUUUGGCAUACCAUAUAAGUAAGAAAUAAUGACACAUUAAAUAUAGGCUCUUAAGGUUUUAGUAUUUAUUUUUAAUUUUUUAAAAGAUUUUAUUUUUAUUUAUUCAUGAGAGAUACAGAGAGGCAGAGACACAGGCAGAGGGAGAAGCAGGCUCUAUGCAGGAAGCCCGAUGUGGGACUCGAUCCCAGGACUCCAGGAUCACGACCUGAGCCCAAAUCAGAUGCUCAACCACUGAGCCACCCAGGUGUCCCUAAUAUUUAUUUUUUAAAAAAUAUUUUAUUUAUUUUAUCGAGUAGGGGGAGGGGCAGAGGGAGAGGAAGAAGCAGACUCCCUGUUGAGCAGGCAGCCAGAUGCAAGACUCCAUCCCAGAAGCCUCUCAGACACCCCUUAAUUACAAACUGUGCAGAACCUAGAGUCCUUUUGAUAAAUGUAAAACUUCCAAAAGCAGUAUUACUAGAAAACUAAAGUUUAUAUAAAUAAAAUGCAAUUGAAAUAAUAAAUUCUCAGCUUCCUUAUAUAAUUAGUUAUAAGGAAUAAUUUAUGGAAAUGCACAAGGCAUUUAAUACAAAAUUUUCCUAUUUGGAAUGAAUGUUCUUAAAAAUUGGGAUUCCAGGGUAGCUCGGGUGGCUCAGCUGUUUAGCACGGACUUUGGCCCAGGAUGUGAUCCUGGGGACCUGGGAUCAAGUCCCGAGUCGGGUUCCCUACAGGGAGUCCACUUCUCCCUCUGCCUGUGUCUCUGCCUCUCUCUGUGGGUCUCUCAUGAAUAAAUAAAAUCUUAAAAAAAAAAUUGGGAUUCCAGAAUUGAUUUUUGACCAAGGUGAGGUGGUGGUUGGUUUGAUCCCUACCUUCGUGGGGCCUGGCAUUUGCUAAUCAGAAAGAUUUAAAAUGACAACUUUUUAUCCCCCCUCAGGCCCUGAUCACAGUCCAAGCCUCAAAUUUAUUGUUUUGGUGGCAGCUUGUUUCUAUCGGUCCACACUGAAUUUUUCUUUUUGCAUUUAAACCAAUAAUGAAAAGGAUUAAUGGCUUAAAAGUUUAAUUUACUUAACGGUGAACUGCAUAUGGAUAGUCUCCCUGACACUGUCUGGCUAAUAAACACACAUACUAAUAAACACACACACACCAUAGAGAUUCAGACAAAGAAAAGCUCUUCAUGCUACAGCCUUUAUCAACAAAAACCUCAUGAUUUCAAUUAAAUUUGUAUUUAAAUCAUUUUUAUGGAGGAUAUUUUUUCAAACAGAUGGUCAUUUUUGAGACCCUGAGAUCUCUCAAUAUCAUUUGUUUUCAGCACUCCAACACUGAUGUGGAGGGAAUAAGUUCUUUUAUAUAAAGCAGAGACUAUGUGAUUCAUUUGCUAAACGUGAACUGUUUACAGUUAGAGAUUUUUAAAAUUCAGCAUCUACUAAAUGCUUCCAACUAGCCUGGGAUCGCUUCACAAACUGUCCUACUCAGCUCAGGCCAUUUGACUGCAUUCAAAUGCUUUCCAGAUGCUGACAGAACUACUGUCAGCAGGAUAGGCUUCCCCUGGGGAGGAAGUUAUCUAUUUAAUUGGGGUGGGGGUGCAGGACAGCUCCUCUGGGUGAUACUCUUGGUUAACACUCUGCCUUUUCCCCAAAUUAUCAUUUCCAGGGUAUUCUAGAGACUUUGAGUCAGCUUUUCUGGUAGAAAGGCAGGCAUGGUGAUGAGUUACUGAGUUGGUGUUCAGCCUCUGGCAGGUGAGUGCUACAAUUCCUUUCUGCAGUGAUAUUCUUAUAAACGACAGCCUUGCUUUUAAAUUCCUAGUCUGUGGUCUAUUCCUAGUCUGUUCUCCACAAUAAUUUGGAAUAAUCUGUUCAAGAGUCCAGAGCAACUCAAAUCUAGGGAGUGACAGAGGUGGAUUUCAAUAGUGUUGCUCAAAUUUUAAUGUUUGUGAAUCUCGGGAUUUUGUGAAAGCACAGAUGGUGCUUUCAUGGGUCUGGGGUGGAGUCUGGGGCUCUGCAUUUCUAGUGAGCUCCCAGGUGAUGCCAGUGCUGCUGGUCCAGGCACUACACUUUGAGUGGUGAGGGACCAUAAGGUGUCAAUCAGAUAUGCACACAGUGAGACCCCCUGAUGUCUUAUUUUUGCACCCUUCCCCUUUUCCUUUGCUGUCUGGGGAUGAUGAAGCCAAGCCCCAGCCUUGAGCUGUUAUCCUUAUUUUAGGAGGGAUCAUAAACAGAGCCUGCCAUUUGCCUGUUUAACUUCUCUCACUCCUCUGCCUUCCUUUGCUCCUCCCUGGGCCUGAAUGGUAAUGGUGCUCUUUGGUCUAAGGGCCAAGAAGGAACCUCACUGACUUCCCAGUUCACGUUUGCCCACUGUGGUCCUUAUGCUUUAUAACCCACGGCUGUACGUAGAAUUGAUCCUCACAUUUCCUCAUGAUGUCUUCUGAGACCAUGAUGUCUUGAAGCAUCUAAAGGCAAACCUGGAAAAUUCUCUUCUGGCUUGUUGGACUUAUGGUGUUUGGGAAGGUGGGGUUACAAAGCUCUUAAGGAACUUGGAAAAACGAGAGAUGCUUGUGACCUUCAGGUGGAAGAGAUGACCUCUUCAUACCGAGCAGAGUGGAGAGGCUGUGUUCUUAGGGCCAUAAUUCAGCAAACUCCAAGAAGGCCAUCUGAAGGGUUUGUCCAGUAACAUAUCUGGGUUUAUCACUUUGUAAAGCCUUUUCACUUUCUCAUUCCUAACUUGUAAGCCCUGUGUUAUCCUGGAGGGGCUAAGGGCUCCCUCAGGGGGACUCAUUCAUAUUUCUUCCUCCAGGGACACAAUGACAAAACUUUAGGCCUUGUGACCAUGCCAGAAACUUGCUUCCCAACUGUCACUGUCCUGCAGGGAAGGGGAAGAUACAGCUUCAGCCUUGCUCAUUGGUUACUGUCUUUCUUCUAUUUCUGGUCCACUGUGAUGCUUAUCUUGCUUUUGAAUCUGCUUCUUUCUUUUCAGAAUUUCUCUCUCCCUAUUUAUUUAUUUAUUUUAAAUAUUUUAUUUAUUUAUUCAUGACAGACACAGGGAGAGAGAGAGAGAGAGAGAGGGGCAGAGACACAGGCAGAGAGAGAAGCAGGCUCCAUACAGGGAACCCGACGUGGGACUUGAUCCCAGGUCUCCAGGAUCACGCCCUGGGCUCAAGGCGGCGCUAAACCACUGAGCCACCAGGGCUGCCCUAUUUUUAAAAUUUUAUUUAUUUAUUCAUGAGAGACACAGAGAGAGAGGCAGAGACAGACAGAGGGAGAAGCAGGCUCCCCAUAGGAAGCCCUCUGUGGGACUUGAUCCCGGAACUUGGGGGAAUCACGUCCUGAGCGGAAGGCAGAUGCUCAACUGCUGAGCCACCCAGGCAUCCCCGGAAUCUCUCUUUUAAAAUCUGUUGUUGCUGUAUGCGCUGGGAAAAAGUUCCUAUGCCUUCCAACCAAAAAUCUGAAGUUGUGAAAGUGGGUUUUCUAUACUCCGGUUUUUUUUUUUUUUUUUUUUUUUUAAGAUUUUACUUAUUUAUUCAUGAGAGACACAGAGAGAGAGAAAAAAAAGAGAGAGGGGAGAGAGAGAGAAAGAGAGAGGCAGAGGCACAGGCUGGAGGUUAAAAAAAAAAA
rnacentral:lncRNA from 1 species